AUAAAGGACUUGUCUAGGGGAGAGCCUAUGGAUCUGAGAACGCUGUCUGGGCUUGGUACCAAGAGCUGGUAUUUCACAGCAGCGACCGCCUCACAGACGAGCUGUGGGAAGCAGGAGGGAGACUCUCUCUUAGGGUGCCACUACUAUGGAGACACAGCUGGGCUGAACAAGAUUUGCUUCAAACGACAACAAGAGAGACAGAAAGUAUCUGGUUCAACCGCUGCCCGAGCAGGCAGGCACCAGAAGAGCUAGCAGCCAAUCCGGCCAUGCUCGAAGCCAGCUCUGCAGCUCAGCCAAUCAGUGACAUCAUUGCUUUCUUUAGCUUGCCCAUGGUGAUGUGAAGAUGAGAAGAAAUAGCAAGGCCCAACCAGUUCUUCAUCUGGAGACAGUUCAACGUUCUGCAAACCAGAUCUUCAGGAAUUUUACUGGGAUAAUUAUCCAAAUAAAUUGCAAGCAUUCUAUCCAAAUGGAGCUCUUUCUGAGAUGAAGAGAAUUCUCAAUGUCAAGAUUUGAACAAGAAGAGAAUGGAAUACACAAUAUGGACAUCCAUAAAAAUUCAUCAGAGAGCAUUUUACUACUGAGCUGCAAAGCUCUACAUUUUCACAGUAAAACUUCUGUUUUAUCUUUUAACAACAUGAUAAAGAAAAACACAGAUGGAAGAACAUUGAGGGGGAAUUCCUAAAUGGGAGCAGUUAGCAGCUAUGAAAAUGUAGAUAUUCAAGAAGAAAAGAAAAAGUAAGCAAAACUGAAUCAUGAGACCAUAGAAGAGUCAAAAAAAUGUCAAUUUAUCUCAGCUUUCUGCAAACUACAACCCAUGGGCCAAAUUCAAGGUCUGUUUUUGUACAAUCUACACAUUAAGAAUGGUUUUUACAAUGAUACGUGUUAGAAAAAUGUUUAGAAAGUCAUAUUUUAUGAUGUGAAAAUUGAUAAAAUGUUGUUGUCCAUAAAUAAAGUUUUAUUGGAACACCAUCACACUUUCAUUUAUGUAUUUUCUAUGACUGUUUUUAUGCUGUAACAGCAGAAUUAAGCAGUUGCGACAGAGAUCAUAUGACAUGCAGCAUGUAAAACAUGUAUUAUCUAGCCCUUCAUAGAGAAGUUUGCUGUCUCCAGAUUUAGAACAUUCCCCUAAGUUAAUUUUCCCAGCUGAUUACAUCACUGUUUAUUGAGUAUCAGCUCUGGAAUUUCAAGUUCAAAUAAACCAAGGAGUACCUUCA
ensembl:lncRNA MIR99AHG mir-99a-let-7c cluster host gene